AACGAACGCUGGCGGCAGGCCUAACACAUGCAAGUCGAGCGAGGACUUCGGUCCUAGCGGCGGACGGGUGAGUAACGCGUGGGAACGUGCCCCUUGGUACGGAAUAGCCCCGGGAAACUGGGAGUAAUACCGUAUGAGCCCUACGGAGGAAAGAUUUAUCGCCAAGGGAUCGGCCCGCGUUGGAUUAGGUAGUUGGUGGGGUAAUGGCCUACCAAGCCGACGAUCCAUAGCUGGUUUGAGAGGAUGAUCAGCCACACUGGGACUGAGACACGGCCCAGACUCCUACGGGAGGCAGCAGUGGGGAAUCCUAGACAAUGGGCGCAAGCCUGAUCUAGCCAUGCCGCGUGAGCGAUGAAGGCCUUAGGGUCGUAAAGCUCUUUCAGCUGGGAAGAUAAUGACUGUACCAGCAGAAGAAGCCCCGGCUAACUCCGUGCCAGCCGCCGCAGUAA
rnacentral:rRNA from 1 species